GGCCUGGUGGUCUAGUAGUAUGAUUCCUUCUUAGGGUGCUUUCGUCGAGAGACAAAUCUGGAGGCGGUCCCGGGUUCAAUUCCCGGCCAGGCCC